rnacentral:rRNA from 1 species
GACGUAGGGCGCGAGCGUUGUCCGGAUUUAUUGGGCGUAAAGAGCUCGUAGGCGGCUUGUUGCGUCGACUGUGAAAACCCGCGGCUUAACUGCGGGCUUGCAGUUGAUACGGGCAGGCUAGAGUUCGGUAGGGGAGACUGGAAUUCCUGGUGUAGCGGUGAAAUGCGCAGAUAUCAGGAGGAACACCUAUGGUGAAGGCAGCUCUCUGGGACGGUACUGACGCUGAGACGCGAAAGCGUGGGGAGCGAACAGG